CUUAUUUUACGGUGGUUUACGUGACAUUGAGUGUACUUGUUACCCACUGAAUGGACGACAAAAUGACGAACCGUGACCAACAGAAGCAAAAAUGCAAAGAUGUAAAUGUCAGUUUUGUUGAUGUAAUUUAUGUUGGAAAUAACGUGAUGCAUAUUUUACUCACUUCAAUUGCCACACCCAUUUUUCCUUGCAGUUGUGCAUUUCAUUCUUUGAGUUUGCCCACUCUCAUUUGUGUUCCUAGAUAGAUCGUAUUGUUUUUAUUAAUACAAAAUUUAGCAUUUAGUAGUAUUCCGCAUGUGAAUUCAAUUUAUCAACCUUUCUACUAUACAUCGCCAUAGCAACGGCAGUGGUGUAGCUUUUGUUAAAAAAUUCAAACCAUUUAGAUGUUGUUUUACAUCAGUUAGAUACUUUUUCAACAAAUAUAGUAAUGGUGCAAAAAUACGGAUCUAAAUGGUGAAUUUUCCAUCUUUUAAAAACUGUAUUGAGCCACCUUAAUAUUAUUCUGCACUUAAUAAUUAACAAUAUAUUCGCCGAAUGCGAGGUGAUUAUCUAAUAAAUAUUCACCGAGACGAAGUCGAAUUGAAUAUUCUCCAAUGAUCACCGAGCCUUAGGCGAAUUAAUUUUUUAGUAUUUUUAUAUUUUAGUAUUUUUGGACUGAAUUUAUUUUGAAUUCGCCAAUUUCUUUAUCAGUAAUUUCCACAAAACGUCUAGCCGCCAUUUUGUAAAUUUUGGUUUUGUUAUAUUCACCUGUAGGUGAAUAUAACAGCUUAAUACGUCAAAUUUUACCAAUGAACUUGUAGGAUUUGUUAUAUUAACUUGUGCAAAAAUACUAAUAACUAAAUGUUUUCUACUACAUCUACCUUACGGACAGUUCAAUCAUCUAAUGGAAAUGUUCUUUUAUUUAAAAAGGAUGUGAUGAGGUGUGAAGAAGAAUCCAGCCAAAGACUGUGGAACGACCAGGUACAACGCGGAACGACCAGAUGAAGGCCUACGUACAAUCAACAUAUCUUUCAAAAUUGCCAAAAUCAAUGUAAGUUUGAUAGGACAAAAUACGUUUCUGAACAUCAAAGAGAAUUCCAACGAUUUUAACCGCUUCUCAGGACAUAGACGGAUUUUCUAAGGUUGCAGUUGGGUGCACACCCACCUUAGAAAGUUUCCCCACCCUACCUAAAGAAUUUUGGGUUGAAUGCUCAUUAAAUGAAAUGACAAUAGUAUGAUUUGAACUAAUGAUUUUAAAGUUUAAACUAAUUUAGACGAACGACAAGGAUUUUGAAAUAAAUAAACAUAAAUUUCGAAAUUUAAAUCGCCCCCUUACCUCCAAACCUGAAGCCCACUAGGGAUUGUGCCCCAGAUCUUUACCCAAAAAUUUUCUCCCAUGCACAGAGCAAAAUCUGAAAAUCCGUCAAUGUAUGGGGAUUCUAUAAAGUUUUCUCUCAUCUUGUUUUAGUGUUCUAUUAAAAUUCAUCAAUCAACAUAAUUAAUUUUAUAAGCUCUACAUUGCAAACGGCUAUUGUGUAUUAAUUCAUGAGAAAACGAGAACGGAAAUGAUAAUAUAUCUGAUAAAACUGUUUAGUUGCAAUAUAAGGGUAACAUCUUUCUGUUACUAUGAAAAUAUCAUCUUUUUAAACGAUUAUUUAUACAUACAGCAUUUGCAUAAAUUAUGUACUGUAUAGGGAAUAAUUUAUUGUAAUUAUUAUCUAAUGGAUACAUUCUUUUAAUUUCAAAAAGUACUAAAAGAUUUCAAGAUGGGGAGAGCAGAGUAAAUGACUCAUGGAUGAUAUGCACCAAAGAGAUGAAUGACAAUCGAUCCGUAACAAAAAUGAACCUGCACGAAUUGCUAAUAUGAAAGUAGUUACCCUUACUUUACCAAUGUAAGUUAAAGCAAGAUACUUAUUUAGAAAUCAAAGGGAAUUCUAGCAAAUACAAUUGUUUCUCAUUGAAAAAAGCAACCAAAUUAG
rnacentral:lncRNA from 1 species